rnacentral:rRNA from 1 species
GAUGAACGCUGGCGGCGUGCUUAACACAUGCAAGUCGAACGAUUAAGACCCCUUCGGGGGUGUAUAGAGUGGCGAACGGGUGAGUAACACGUGGGCAACCUGCCCUUUCCUCUGGGAUAACACGGAGAAAUCCGUGCUAAUACCGGAUACUCCAUAUCUGCGGCAUCGCGGAUAUGGGAAAGCUCCGACGGGAAGGGAUGGGCCCGCGGUCCAUUAGCUAGUCGGUGGGGUAACGGCCUACCGAGGCGACGAUGGAUAGCCGGGUUGAGAGACCGACCGGCCACAUUGGGACUGAGACACGGCCCAGACUCCUACGGGAGGCAGCAGUGGGGAAUUUUGCGCAAUGGGGGAAACCCUGACGCAGCAACGCCGCGUGCGGGAUGAAGGCCUUCGGGUUGUAAACCGCUUUCAGCAGGGAAGAAUACAGACGGUACCUGCAGAAGAAGCUCCGGCUAACUACGUGCCAGCAGCCGCCGUAA